rnacentral:rRNA from 1 species
CUACGGGCCGCAGCAGUGGGGAAUAUUGCACAAUGGACGAAAGUCUGAUGCAGCAACGCCGCGUGGAGGAUGACACAUUUCGGUGCGUAAACUCCUUUUAUAUAGGAAGAUAAUGACGGUACUAUAUGAAUAAGCACCGGCUAACGCCGUGCCAGCAGCCGCGGUAAUACGGAGGGUGCAAGCGUUACUCGGAAUCACUGGGCGUAAAGAGCGUGUAGGCGGGUUAAUAAGUUGGAAGUGAAAUCCUAUGGCUCAACCAUAGAACUGCUUCCAAAACUGUUAACCUAGAAUAUGGGAGAGGUAGAUGGAAUUUCUGGUGUAGGGGUAAAAUCCGUAGAGAUCAGAAGGAAUACCGAUUGCGAAGGCGAUCUACUGGAACAUUAUUGACGCUGAGACGCGAAAGCGUGGGGAGCAAACAGGAUUAGAUACCCCCGUAGUC